GAUGAACGCUGACAGAAUGCUUAACACAUGCAAGUCAUUGGCGAAGCUGCGCUUGCGCAGUCUAGCCAAGGCGGACGGGUGAGUAACGCGUAAGGAACUUGCCCUGCAGACAGGGAUAACAGACGGAAACGACUGAUAACACCUGGUAUUGUCAGGCUGGCGCAUGCCGGCCUGAUGAAAGGAGACGCUGCAGGAGAGCCUUGCGUCCUAUUAGCUAGUUGGUGGGGUAACGGCCCACCAAGGCGAUGAUAGGUAGCCGGCCUGAGAGGGUGAACGGCCACAAGGGGACUGAGAUACGGCCCUUACUCCUACGGGAGGCAGCAGUGGGGAAUAUUGGACCAUGGGGGCAACCCUGAUCCAGCAAUUCUGUGUGCACGAAGAAGGUUUUCGGAUUGUAAAGUGCUUUCAGCAGGGAAGAAGAAAGUGACGGUACCUGCAGAAGAAGCGACGGCUAAAUACGUG
rnacentral:rRNA from 1 species